rnacentral:rRNA from 1 species
UACGAAGGGGGCUAGCGUUGCUCGGAAUCACUGGGCGUAAAGCGCACGUAGGCGGCUUUCUAAGUCAGGGGUGAAAUCCUGGAGCUCAACUCCAGAACUGCCUUUGAUACUGAAGAUCUUGAGUUCGAGAGAGGUGAGUGGAACUGCGAGUGUAGAGGUGAAAUUCGUAGAUAUUCGCAAGAACACCAGUGGCGAAGGCGGCUCACUGGCCCGAUACUGACGCUGAGGCACGAAAGCGUGGGGAGCAACAGGG